UUUGGCCUACGGGACGCAGCAGUAGGGAAUCUUCCACAAUGGACGAAAGUCUGAUGGAGCAACGCCGCGUGAGCGAUGAAGUAUUUCGGUAUGUAAAGCUCUACCAGCAGGGAAGAAAAUGACGGUACCUGACUAAGAAGCCCCGGCUAACUACGUGCCAGCAGCCGCGGUAAUACGUAGGGGGCAAGCGUUAUCCGGAUUUACUGGGUGUAAAGGGAGCGUAGACGGUCCUGCAAGCCAGAUGUGAAAGCCCGGGGCUCAACCCCGGGACUGCAUUUGGAACUGUAAGGCUAGAGUGUCGGAGG
rnacentral:rRNA from 1 species